CCAAUUUGGUUGUUGCCAAGGUUUACUCGGUCUUCUUGGCAUACCUUACAUCAUCACCCAAAGCACUGAUGGUAAUGUAGAGCCUUUCGUAAGCCAACCACAUCUUACCCAAUUCUCUCAAUAUAUUACUUCCAAUUAUUAUAUUCCGUUUAAAUCCUCUGCAAGAACCGUCGACUCGUUUUCCGAAUGCUGGUCAAUCACAUGGGCACUGGUUGGCUGACUAUUUGAGGAAUUGAUGGGCGUACUCUUUCCUAUGACCGUCAUAACCUUAAGACCUCAAACGCCUCGUACCUUACCGCCGAUAGCUCAUUGCAAGCGGAUGACCGCGACCGAAGCUAGCCCGAGCUCCCUUGCAAAGAAAACAAAGAAAAGAUCGACAGUCCAACCGGCGAUUGCCCCUAUGAACAUUGUAGAUCAACAAGCGGUCAAAGACUAUUGGUUCUCUUUACCCCUAGAGACCCACUGGCUGGCGGCUAAUAUCCUUCGCCAUCUUCCACCUAACAUCGGCGAUCCGAUCCCAUCAACCACUACUGCCCGAGAGCACAUGCCACUUUGACCAACAUCAUUCGGCCCUCUCAAGGGACUGUUCAAGCUACAUUGACUCCAUCAAUAAGUUUCCUUCCUGAUAUUUCAUUUGUUCAUUUGUUGCACAGUUUGAAAUUUACUAAAGCUUAUUCAUUAUAGGCACCGUGCAAUUGAAUCAUGAGGCUCCAACUUUAAUCCCCCAGGCUGACACACCAGAACAACUUCCAGCAUCACCAUAUGAUGAAGAGUCUUCAAUGACUAGUUGGGUAGAGGAACCGACUAUGAGGAAAAUUCCUCCCCCGACUUCAAUCACCCCCACAGUUGAUCCUUCCACCGAAGUGGGGUCCCCCUCAGCAUGUUCUGGAUCCGGCGAGGCUGUUGACAAACAGGUUGGUAUAGUUUACCAACACAUUGAAGACGCUGCUCGGCCGGCUUAACCAGGUCACACCUAAUCUAGUGAAGGAGCCUUCUAUACACAGAGGACAUCUCUUUUUCCAACUCUACGGAUCAUUCAGGCUUGGGAUGAAAUGCCUAUGAAGAGUCAGAAGUUGAAGUAUAGGUGCUCUAUGGCCCCCCCUUCGUAUGGUUCCACUCCUUGCUCCAUCCGUCCUCACAGCCGUCCAGGACCAGCCAAUAUUCCUAUCACUACCGAGGCUCAACAGGUGGUGACAAAUUGUGCCUCAACUCCUCUCUUCGACCUGGUCAAUAAGGUCCUUUACGCCUUGGCUGAGGUCGUACUUGAUUUGUUGGUCCAUUCCUCUGCCGAACCAAGUGCCACUCCCCUUCUACACCCACUUAUGGAGUGGAUUCUGGAGGUAUAAACCGAGUUAUCAUUAAUUUGGAUCCCUCUAGCCAGGCCCUCUCAACCGUCUGCAAUUCAAUCGGUCCAGAUUGAAACAUCCAUUUCCAAGGCUGAUGCGGAUCUUAGAAAAGCUCAUGAUCAACUCGAAGCCUUCUCUACUCCCAAUAAACUAUGGAUAAAUAUUUUAGCGCCAAAAAAAGAGAAUUGGAUCGCCUACAACAAGAGUUGGAUAGCCUCCGGAGGGAUAGGGCCACCCUGGACAGUUGUAUUGCCAAAGAGAAGCAACUAAUAGAUGAGUACCAACAUAACCAAACUCAACUAACAUGUGAAUUGCAAGCUUCAAUUCGGUUGUGGCUUGUGCAUGAGCAUCACGUUGCUCUCCAUAACCACCAAACUGCUGAACUUGAGUGUAAAUGGUCCAACAUCCGGGUUGGACUUGAUGUUUUUUUUGUAAAAAGUUGCAGUUAGCUCCUAUUUUUGAUCUUGUCAUAUUUUUCCUUAAAAAAACCUAGUCUAUUUCAUAGGAUCUAAGCAUUCUAACAACAUAUCCUAACUGUAGGACUGAACCAGGAAUUUAAACUUAACCUAUAAAUAAAAUGUAUCUCCUGAUAAU